CUCACUCUUUCCGCCGUCAAAAUGGCGGCGGCGGCAGCAGAGGUAGCGUCGACGCCGGUAGUGACCAGGCUGAAGAAGUUGCUUCCGAAAACAUCGAUGCGAAGGAUCGUCGAAUUGAUGAUGCGCACGCGCACAGCUCCAUACCUUCUAUCUACCCAAAAACUGGGCUGGGAGAGUAAUAGUGUCUACACGGCAGAAGUGAAGAAACAGAUUUAGGCUAAGCAAACUGCCUGAUGUUAUAACUACAUGUAGUGGCAAAUGCGAGAUUAAAACAUGGACUUGAGUGGCUUUGAAAUCUCUGUGCCUUCCACAGCAAUAAAAGUCAGAAGAAAAGAGAUGGUACAUCUAGAUGGACUGGUAAAAAUGGAGCACUGCCAAGCAAACCCAAGAAAAUGUCCAGCCUCAACAUGAAGUUUUACUGGCUUCUGAGGAAGUGAAAGAUGUCUGAGUGCGGGACCUAGGGUAUGAAUUGUCAAGGGAUGUGGAGGAACAAAGAGAUCCACAGAUGGAUCAUUCAACUCCUGCCACAAUUAUGCUGUGUAAUGAAGAGCCAUAAAACCUCGGUGACAUACAGUUUCCUACCUUGAUAUCGGUUCUGGUGGAGGUUCCUACUUGGAGGUUUCUGCUCUGAUUGAAGAUGUUCCAAGAAGAGUGAGCUUAUUUUUCACCUACUUCAAAAAUCAUCAGAACAGUUUAACUAUGGACGAGCAUGGACUUCCAGCAGAUUCCUAUGUCUGUGUGUGAAAUCUGAGAGCUUCUGCCUCCCUAAAGGUAUCUCUCUCCAGUUUUCUAAAACCUAUCCUUUCACCAGGAAUAAUGCUGACAGAGGGAGGGAAGAAUUAUGUGUGGAAACAAAUAAUUUGCUGUUUGGGGAGCUCACUUUGAUUAAUCUUUCUAUUUUGCCAUCUGGUGGUUUUGAAACAAACACAAGUGUGGGAAAUCUACAAUGAUGUGAAUUUUGAAUAUUUCAACUCAAGUCUGAGUUUAUUUUCUAUAUUUCAGGUUUUUAAAGAAAACACUUCAGAAGGAUAUAUUUUAUCUAUUAGUUUCAUUAUUUGUCAUAUUUUAAUGUGUUUUAUGUGUACAUGGCCAUUUUCCCACCUCACUGUAAGUUCCUUGAAGUUAAGAAUUAGAUCUCAUAUACAAUUCUUUAUAAGAAUCUCUAAGAACUGCCCAUAAGAUGGCAUGAAUUAUUUAUAAGUUAUAAAUUAUCUUUCUCUGGACAGAAAGGCAGAUAAGUGUUGUUCUACUAGUCUCCUUUUUAAAGUGUUCAGAAUAAAAAACAAUUAUUCUUGUCAUGUUUGUAGGUAGUCCUAAAAAAAAUCAGAAUGCAGAAAUAUUCGAAUAUAUUUUCAAAAUAAAGAAGCAUUACAGAUAAUAUUUAUUUGUAGUAAUUUAUAAUUUUUCUAUCUCAUGGGAUUUAUAUUGCCCUUGGACAUCUCAUAGCAUUAGUCUGGUGUUUUGAUAACACUCAGAGGGCCAGCUGUCAUGAGUUUACUGCAUUAUUUUGUUUGGAGCCAUUUUAUGUAAUUUAUGAUUUAUUUCACAGACCAAUCUGUUGAAAAGCAUUAUUGGUGUAGAAUAUUACAGUACCAAAACCCACCAUAGUAAAAGAUAAUUCUGCAAAUAAACUAUUUAGACAUUUUGUCUCAAUUAUAGAAAUUAUAUGAACUAAGAAAUAUGUAGGUAUGUAUUGAUGGAUCAGAAAUUCCAUUGGAAAUAAAAUGAAAUAAAAAAUUAUUCAUUUCUCAAGUGGGAUAAAUUUAUACUGGUCAUUACUCUUCCGUGACAAAAAUAGCCACAAGCUUCAAUUUUUAAUGGGCUUGACAGAAUAGCUCCCUAUCCUACUAAUUUUUUAAAAAAUUAACCAAAAAUAUAAUUUUCCUACUGAGAGAGAAGAUUUUUGCUCACAUUCUUGUAACUGAAAGUAAAACUUGGGAUAUAGAUUUUGGUCUAAAUGAUUCAUGAUCUGAAAAAAGAAGAAAACACAAUAGGGUUUUCUUCGAGACGAAGAAGCUAAGUGCUAGUAAAGAAGGACAUGUACACAUACAUUAAUACACUGCCUCUCCAUCAAUGUCACAUUUGUUCUUGAUUGUACACCAAGUAUCACUGAUGAGUGCAGAGAAGUCAAGCAAAAUACUUGUUCAAACUGUAGUGCAUCUUCUUUGUUACAAUCUACUUGUCUAGUACCU